UCUCGCCCUGCGCCCACCCGGGCCGGGGUCCACCUGUUCGCCCCUCCUGGACCGUAGGCCUGGUCACACACUCGAGCCAGGGCCAGCGGCUCGCAGGGGUGACCUUGGACGAACCCUUGCAUUCUCUGUCCCCAGUUCCCUUGCCCUGGUUUCUCCCUGUCUCCCGGAAACUGGGGCGAGGAGGAGCUAGCGAACGGUCUGGGGGUCUUUCUAGCACCUAGUAUUCAGCAAGAGCAGGGUUCUGGGUUUUCCCCUGAGAGGGGCACGUGGGAGAUUACCCAGCAGGAGAGACCCCGAUCCCAGGCUUCAGGGUGAGCUCGUUCACCGCCUGAGGCUUCUUCCCCUGAUGAGACGGGUGGGAAUGGGCCAGAGCCCUCCUGCCUGACCAGCUGUGCAAACGCUCCCUGAAUCAUCCCUCUUCAAUCGCUCUUUCAGUCAGUGGCAGUGGCCUCCCUCUGGGUGGCAAGUGGUGGCCCCACGAGCCAGGGGCCCUCCCAAGGAGAGGGCUUUGGGCUGGACUGGGAGUCAGGGGUUAGGUCUGAGGCUCCUGACCUCAGAGCUCACCAUCUUCCCUGCAAGCUUCCUGAGAGCCCUUCCCAGCUGGACUGAGGCCCUCCUGGCGCCUGCUGCAGAGAGCCCAGUGCUGGUGGGUAUGGAUACAGGCACCGGGUUCCCCAUCAGGUUCCUGCAGGCCCUGGGAAUCCUUGCUCCCUCUCCGAAACAUGGACUGACCUGAGAAAGCCCCCAAGCCCAGGGUGGUGAAGAGGCAGCCUGAUCAGCAGCCCAGGGCCUGGGAUGGCAGCUUGGCCAAAAUGAAGGUCAUAUCCAAGUCACCUUCCAGACCCGGGAGCCUAAAAGAAGCUCAUCCCCAGAGCAAGCCAGGAGACCCUCUGUGCUGACAAGAAGGAAGGCUAGUGACUGGAGGUGGCUGGCAUGGGCGAAAACGGAGGAGGAGGCUGAUGUCUGCCACCCCGACACACACUCUGCCCCCAGGGAUCUCCUGCAGAAGUGCAAAGAGGCCUGGAGAGAGUGACAGUGACCACGAGGACCCACCAGCCCCGCC